rnacentral:lncRNA from 1 species
AAUGGUAUUACCAAUGGUUUUUUGUAUGAAAUGGUAUUAACAAUGUCUUUUUGUAUGAAAUGGUAUUACCAAUGUAUUUUUUUGGGUAUGAAAUGGUAUUAACAAUGUCUUUUGUAUGAAAUGGUAUUAACAAUGUAUUUUUUUGGGUAUGACAUGGUAUUAACAAUGUCUUUUUGUAUGAAAUGGUAUUAACAAUAUAUUUUUUUGGGUAUGAAAUGGUAUUAACAAUGUAUUUUGUUGGGUAUGAAAUGGUAUUAAAAAUAUUUUUUAUAUGAAUUGGUAUUAACAAUGUUUUUCUACGAAAUGGUAUUAACAAUGUUUUUUUUAUAAAAUAGUAUUAACAGUGUUUUCUAUAACAUGGUAUUAACAAUGUACUUCUAUGACAUGUUUUGCAGAGGUUUGAUGGAGAAGGAAGGGUCGUGGGGACAUGCCCUUGGUUUUCGUGUUUUUAUUUUAUUUUAUAUUUAUAGUUAAGUUUGGGUUUUUAAAAAAAAUAUAGGCUGGGCUUGUUAUGGGUUUUUUUUGUGUUUUUUGUAUUGGGCUUCUUUUAAGUUAGUUAGUGGCAGUCAUGUAAUUUAUAGGAAAUUCAACACUCAUUUUGUAUGUAGUAAAUGAUUUUUGGGUAUGUUUCUAAAGUGCAUUUCAUGUAGGGUUUUUUUAUAAUUUCAGCUCCUAUUUUGGGUAUAUUACUAAAGCUCCCUUGGUUUUUUUCCCUUCAGACAUUGUUCAUUUUUAUAACUUUGUUCCACCCUAAUAAUCACAGAGCU